rnacentral:lncRNA from 1 species
UCUCCAGGGACAUAAUGGGAAAGGCUUUAUCUAAUGUCUUUUCUCAUUUACCUCCCUGGAAGGUGUCCCUUCAGUACUGUGUGUCCUUGGUGCUGCUGAGCUCUGUCUGGCUCUCUGAUCGUUUCAACACCUGGCACCCCUGGAGAGGCUACCGAGGAGAGAAUGCGGGUGAGCUGCCACCAGUGGAGCUCUGAGGUUAUCACAGCCUGAUAAACGAACUCACAGGACACUCCCAAUCCAAUACGGCGCUGAUGGGGUUUAAGACACUGAUGCAGAUGAGAAGCACAACUGCACAGCAUAUGUACUUCUAGUGAGAAUUCAUCAAAUAUCCCAGGCAUGGCUUCCAGACCCCACCACUGUGUGGCCCAUGCUUGUUUGUGAAAGGUGAGUCAAAUAUGUGAGGAUUCUUCAGCACAAGGAAGCUGGCAUUGCAUAUGAAUCAUGUGGAUCCUUCCUGGGCGUGUGACCUGCUCUGUUUCACUGCAGCCCAUCACAUGAGUUACAUCAUAUGGUAAGAUACAGGGUUUAGGAAUGAAGUUAAAGACACAGUACUAUUUAAUGCGAAGUUUUUUUGAAAGCUGCUAAGAAAAGAAUAUUCAAAAUUCCUUUAGAAGUUCAUCAUCUUCUCAUUUAUUUUCAUGAAUAAAGUUUGUUCUUUAAAUAUUUUAUGUGAAGCUUGUUUCACACUUUCAUUUCUCAGGCUAGAAAUCAAGGAGUUCAAGGAGAUGGUCACACACAAGUUCGGUCUCUGAAUCACAGAAUCGCAGAGAGCUCUCGGUCUGAGCUUCUGUCCAUGGCCACAAAGAGUUGCAGACUGCAGGUUGAGCAAUGCAGGUUGAGAAAGCAAAGAGGUGAGCAAGGCAGGUUGAGAAAGCUCCAUGCACACUGUCUGCAGAGAUAAUUUUUGGUAUGUCAAUUUCAUUGCAGAUAUAAGAUAUGGAAAUAAUGGAAAAGAGAGAGAAAGAGAGAGAGAGACUAAGAGAGAGACAGAGAGAGAGACCGGCAUAGGGCUUAGUAUAUGCUUGCAUAGGUCACAGUUUGACUUCAGGAAUGUGAUGGGAAUGACAGCCAUAACUUCGUUGGCACAGGAUUAGGGUAGCUGCCUAAUAUAGCAUCAGGAGAUUGACAUGUAGCUAGCAGCCUCUCCAGGGCCCUGUGGUGAGCAGUAUAUACAGUUUGUGUGUAAUGGUGUGCAUACCUUGCAGUGGAUAUCCAAUGGCAAUAAAAGGGUGGCACUGUGUCAGUGAAUGCAAGAAGAUCUCGGGGCAGUACAGGCAAGGAAAGGAGAAAACAUGGACAGCAGCACCCUGAACAUUGAUGGCUCAUUUCUGCGUUGAAGGUAAAGCAAUAAUUGAAGACAAACUCAUGCCAAUCACAAUGAUAUUUUUCAAGGAAAAAAAUACAUGCAUGAUGUGUGAAAUCCCAAGGAACAAACAAGGGUCCUGAAUAUAACAUUUCCCAAAAGGGUACAAAAUUUAUAAGAUAUAAUCAGGAUAAUGAAAUACAAUCUCCAGCCCUCAGC